rnacentral:rRNA from 1 species
AGAGUUUGAUCAUGGCUCAGGAUGAACGCUGGCGGCGUGCCUAAUACAUGCAAGUCGAACGCAUUACUUCGGUAGUGAGUGGCGAACGGGUGAGUAACACGUAGGUAACUUACCUCUAAGACGAGGAUAACGACUGGAAACGGUCGCUAAAACUGGAUAGGAUCAUUUGAGGCACCUCGAAUGAUUUAAAGGGGCUUUCAAGCCACACUUAGAGAAAGGCCUGCGGCGCAUUAGCUAGUUGGUGAGGUGAAGGCUUACCAAGGCGAUGAUGCGUAGCCGGACUGAGAGGUUGAACGGCCACAAUGGAACUGAGAACGGUCCAUACUCCUACGGGAGGCAGCAGUAGGGAAUUUUCGGCAAUGGGCGGAAGCCUGGAACCCGGGCAACGCCGCGUGAACGAAGAAGUAUUUCGGUAUGUAAAGUUCUUUUAUUAGGGACGAAAAGACAGAUUGACGGUACCUAAUGAAUAAGCUCCGGCUAACUACGUGCCAGCAGCUGC